UAUCUUAGUUCCUUCUUACUUUUGUCAAUCCAUCUCUGCUUCAGUUUUUCCAUAAGAAUUUUCACUUUAUGAUAGCUAGUUUUUUCGCCUUCUUGAGUCGUAGGUCAUGUUUCAUAUUCGUAUAUUAUCACUAGUCUUACUAAUACUCUGUAAAAUUUUCCUGUCGAUAACUUGAAUAGCAGCUUCAACCUUAUUAAUUCUGAAAAUGCGUA